AGCAAUACCUCGCUGAUACGGGGGUCGAUCCAAACCCUCUCGAAGGCUAAUACAGGAACUCCACCUCCUACUCAUACUCAAUACGUCCUCGUCGUACAGAACGGUAACAUAUCUCUCAAUUAUCCAAGCUUGGGUAUACGGGGAAACCCAACCACUUGGGCGGAUAGGUUGCAUGGCUAAAUGGAAAAGG
rnacentral:ribozyme from 1 species